rnacentral:rRNA from 1 species
UACCUGCAGCUCGAGUGGUAACCGCUAUUAUUGGGCCUAAAGCGUCCGUAGCCGGUUUGGUAAAUAUCUGGGUAAAUCGUGAGGCUUAACUUCACGAAUUUCGGAUAGACUGCCGGACUUGGGAUCGGGGGAGGUCAGAGGUACUCCAGGGGGUAGCGGUGAAAUGUUGUAAUCCUUGGAGGACCACCGGUAGCGAAGGCGUCUGACUAGAACGAGUCCGACGGUGAGGGACGAAGCCCUGGGGCGCAAACCGGAUUAGAUACCCGGGUAGUCCAGGGUGUAAACGAUGUGGGCUUUGUAUUGGAGGUCCCACGUGGGCGUCCAGUGCAGAAGAGAAGUUGUUAAGCCCACCGCCUGGGAAGUACGGUCGCAAGGCUGAAACUUAAAGGAAUUGGCGGGGGAGCACAGCAACGGGAGGAGCGUGCGGUUU